rnacentral:rRNA from 1 species
ACCGGCAGCUCAAGUGGAGGCCAUUUUUAUAGGGCCUAAAGCGUUAGUAGCCGGUUUGAUAAGUCUAUGGAGAAAAACCGCAGCUUGACUGUGGGACUUGGUGGAGAUACUAUUAGACUUGAGGUCGAGAGAGGUUAGGGGUACUCCCAGGAUAGGGGAGAAUACCUAGAACCCAGGGAGGCCCAAAUCUGGCCAAGGAGCCUAACUAGUUCGAACCUGCCGCAGAGUAACGAACACCAGGAACGUGAACCA